CAAAGGAGGCGACUCCGGAGACGGAUGGGCAUGCGUGACAUUAGCUUGUUGGCGGGGUAACGGCCCACCAAGGCGACGAUGUCUAGGGGUUCUGAGAGGAAGGUCCCCCACACUGGUACUGAGACACGGACCAGACUCCUACGGGAGGCAGCAGUGAGGAACAUUGGUCAAUGGGCGAGAGCCUGAACCAGCCAAGUCGCGUGAAGGAUGACGGCCCUACGGGUUGUAAACUUCUUUUGUCAGGGAGCAAUUGGGUCCACGCGUGGGCUUAGCGAGAGUACCUGAAGAAAAAGCAUCGGCUAACUCCGUGCCAGCAGCCGCGGUAAUACGGAGGAUGCGAGCGUUAUCCGGAUUUAUUGGGUUUAAAGGGUGCGUAGGCGGAAUAUCAAGUCAGCGGUAAAAAUUCGGGGCUCAACCCCGUCGUGCCGUUGAAACUGAUGUUCUUGAGUGGGCGAGAAGUAUGCGGAAUGCGUGGUGUAGCGGUGAAAUGCAUAGAUAUCACGCAGAACUCCGAUUGCGAAGGCAGCAUACCGGCGCCCAACUGACGCUGAAGCACGAAAGCGUGGGUAUCGAACAGGAUUAGAUACCCUGGUAGUCCACGCAGUAAACGAUGAAUGCUAAUUGUCCGGAGGGAUUGACCUCUGG
rnacentral:rRNA from 1 species